AUUGAACGCUGGCGGCAUGCUUUACACAUGCAAGUCGAACGGCAGCACGGGGGCGAACCCUCGGUGGCGAGUGGCGAACGGGUGAGUAACACAUCGGAACGUGCCCAGUUGUGGGGGAGUAACCUAUCGAAAGGUAGGCUAAUACCGCAUGAGCUCGGCAAGAGGAAAGCGGGGGACUCAGCGAUGGACCUCGCGCGACUGGAGCGGCCGAUGUCCGAUUAGCAGUUGGUGGGGUAAAGGCUUACCAAGGCGACGACCGGUAGCUGGUCUGAGAGGAUGAUCAGCCACACUGGGACUGAGACACGGCCCAGACUCCUACGGGAGGCAGCAGUGGGAAUUUUGGACAAUGGGGCAACCCUGAUCCAGCCAUGCCGCGUGAGUGAAGAAGGCC
rnacentral:rRNA from 1 species